rnacentral:rRNA from 1 species
UACGUAGGGGGCAAGCGUUGUCCGGAUUUAUUGGGCGUAAAGGGUGCGUAGGCGGUCGGGUAAGUCUGAUGUGAAAUCUCACAGCUUAACUGUGAAACUGCAUUGGAUACUAUCCGGCUCGAGGAAUGGAGGGGAGACUGGAAUACUUGGUGUAGCAGUGAAAUGCGUAGAUAUCGAAGUGGAACACCAGUGGCGAAGGCGAGUCUCUGGACAUUUCCUGACGCUGAGGCACGAAAGCCAGGGAGCAAACGGG